rnacentral:rRNA from 1 species
GACGAACGCUGGCGGCGUGCUUAACACAUGCAAGUCGAACGGGAGUAUUGAAGAAGCUUGCUUUAGAGAUACUUUAGUGGCGGACGGGUGAGUAACGCGUGAGGAGCUGUCCUAUGCAGGGGGACAACAGCUGGAAACGGCUGCUAAUACCCCAUAAGCCGAGAGGUAAAAGGAUCAAUCCGGCAGAGGAGGUACUCGCGUCCUAUCAGCUAGUAGGUGAGGUAACGGCUCACCUAGGCGAAGACGGGUAGCCGGCCUGAGAGGGCGAACGGCCACACUGGAACUGAGAUACGGUCCAGACUCCUACGGGAGGCAGCAGUGGGGAAUCUUCCACAAUGGGCGAAAGCCUGAUGGAGCGACGCCGCGUGAGCGAAGAAGGCCUCGGUUGUAAGCUCUGUCUGGAGGGACGAAGGAAGUGACGGUACCUCCGGAGGAAGCCACGGCUAACUACGUG